rnacentral:rRNA from 1 species
UACAGAGGGGGCAAGCGUUAUUCGGAAUUAUUGGGCGUAAAGGGCGCGUAGGCGGCUUUGCAAGUGACGGGUGAAAUCCCUCGGCUUAACCGAGGAACUGCCUGUCAAACUGCAUGGCUUGAGACCGGGAGAGGUGAGUGGAAUUCCCAGUGUAGCGGUGAAAUGCGUAGAUAUUGGGAGGAACACCUGCGGCGAAGGCGGGUAGCUGGGCCGACACUGACGCUGAGGCGCGAAAGCCAGGGGAGCGAACGGG